rnacentral:tRNA from 1 species
GACGCAAUGGCUCAGUGGAAAGGGCCCGGGCUUUGGAGUCGGAGGUCACGGGUUCGAAUCCCGCCUCUGCCG